GGCCGGUUACCUCAGUUGGUUAGAGCGUGGUGCUAAUAAUGCCACGGUCACAGGUUUGAUCCUGUACGGGCUA
rnacentral:tRNA from 1 species